rnacentral:rRNA from 1 species
UACGGGGGGGGGCAAGCGUUGUUCGGAAUUACUGGGCGUAAAGGGCGCGUAGGCGGCCUUCUAAGUCAGACGUGAAAUCCCUCGGCUCAACCGAGGAACUGCGUCUGAUACUGGAAGGCUUGAAUCCGGGAGAGGGAUGUGGAAUUCCAGGUGUAGCGGUGAAAUGCGCAGAUAUCAGGAGGAACACCGAUGGCGAAGGCAGGGUCUCUGGGCCACUACUGACGCUCAGGUGCGAAAGCUAGGGGAGCGAACAGG